UAAAGCCAAAGACUCAUACGGACUUCGGCUACACCAUCAAAGUUUUGAGAAGCAAUAAGAAGCUUGGUUAGUAUUUUGGAGUCAAAUAAGACAAGAUGUUAUGUGUUUGAUUGAGUAUAAGAACUAGAACCGCAACAU
rnacentral:sRNA from 1 species